CCGUGAGUUCAAAAGGACGGAUGGAAAAUCUCCUUAGGGUUGGCAAAGAGCAGCUUUACCACAGAACAGAUGGAGUCUUGGUUUCUCUGGACUGCUGUCUUGCAUCUGUUGCCUGUGUAAGGAAGCUGUAUAUUGUGCCUGACACCACAUCGCCCUUCUGACAGCUGUAGUUACCCAUGGAAUUCUCAGUUCUGCCUGCAACCCAAGGAGACGAGCAUCCCUGUCUUCAUUUUACAGAGAUGACAGGAUAAGCCAUGUGCCGUGAGCCUCACAGCUGGACCCCUAAAUCCAGGAUUCCAGCCCUUGGCCUCCCUGGGCUACAGGGGCUGCAAGGACCAGCGGCAGCAGCAGCACCAGGAACCCUGUUACAAAUGCAGAGUUUCAGGCCCUUACCCACACCUACUACAUCCCGAUCUGCAUUUUAACAAGAACCUGAAUGGAGCUUUGUCGUUUCCACGGCAGAGCCAGCCUCUCCAUUGGCACACAGAACUGCAUACUUCUGUGGACUUGGGGAAAAUCUGCUUUAUCACACUUUUUACAAAGUAGGGUUCUCACGGUAUUUUGCAAGACUACAAGAUUUCAUCCCAGACUCUGCUCAACGCAGCUCAGCAACAGAGAAAUGAGAAGGGGACUUGGCUUCAGCAAGAGUGAACUUACUUGGAUGCUCCAGGGAGGCAGGAAGGUGCAGGGGUGGACACUAUGGAUGUGGAAGGUAGGAAUUCUCAGCGUGAUUCCCAUCCUGGAUACCUCCCAGGAACCAGCCUGGAGGAUGAGGGCAGGGGCAGUAUAGCCCAGGACACAGGUACAGAGGUGGGAAGUCACCAGCACAGCAGGAUGGUCUGUACCACAAGCCAUGGAGGGGUGUGGGUGCCACCUUUGGAGAAGGAAAGAGGUAGCAUCUAUAGGGAGUGUCCUUUAAGCUGAGUGUUGACAAAUGAGAAGGCAGCUUCAGUUCUGCCUCGCUCCAAUGAUAGCAAUCCUUUUGUUUCUGAUUAUAGUACUGGGUACUUGAACUCUACUGACCUACAAUAUGCAGUCUCUGUCAACAGUAAGAGCAUCUGCCCUUGUAGCAGCCCUCAUGCGGAACAAGAUCUCUGACAGACGGCUAGCACAUAUUACUCUUAAUUAUCA
rnacentral:lncRNA from 1 species